rnacentral:rRNA from 1 species
GAUGAACGCUGGCGGCGUGCUUAACACAUGCAAGUCGAACGGGAAACCUUUUAUUGAAGCUUCGGCAGAUUUAGCUGGUUUCUAGUGGCGGACGGGUGAGUAACGCGUGGGUAACCUGCCCUAUACAGGGGGAUAACAACCAGAAAUGGUUGCUAAUACCGCAUAAGCGCACAGGGCCGCAUGGUCCGGUGUGAAAAACUCCGGUGGUAUAGGAUGGACCCGCGUUGGAUUAGCCAGUUGGCAGGGUAACGGCCUACCAAAGCGACGAUCCAUAGCCGGCCUGAGAGGGUGAACGGCCACAUUGGGACUGAGACACGGCCCAGACUCCUACGGGAGGCAGCAGUGGGGAAUAUUGCACAAUGGGGGAAACCCUGAUGCAGCGGCGCCGCGUGAAGGAAGAAGUAUCUCGGUAUGUAAACUUCUAUCAGCAGGGAAGAUAGUGACGGUACCUGACUAAGAAGCCCCGGCUAACUACGUG